rnacentral:rRNA from 1 species
GAUGAACGCUGGCGGCGUGCCUAAUACAUGCAAGUCGAGCGAAUGGAUUGAGAGCUUGCUCUUAUGAAGUUAGCGGCGGACGGGUGAGUAACACGUGGGUAACCUGCCCAUAAGACUGGGAUAACUCCGGGAAACCGGGGCUAAUACCGGAUAACAUUUUGAACCGCAUGGUUCGAAAUUGAAAGGCGGCUUCGGCUGUCACUUAUGGAUGGACCCGCGUCGCAUUAGCUAGUUGGUGAGGUAACGGCUCACCAAGGCAACGAUGCGUAGCCGGCCUGAGAGGGUGAUCGGCCACACUGGGACUGAGACACGGCCCAGACUCCUACGGGAGGCAGCAGUAGGGAAUCUUCCGCAAUGGACGAAAGUCUGACGGAGCAACGCCGCGUGAGUGAGGAAGGCUUUCGGGUCGUAAAACUCUGUUGUUAGGGAAGAACAAGUGCUAGUUGAAUAAGCUGGCACCUUGACGGUACCUAACCAGAAAGCCACGGCUAACUACGUGUCAGCAGCCGCCGUAA